AGCUCCGAGGUGUAUUUUACAUAUUAGAUUGCAAAUCUUAAGUAGCAGGCUAACUACCUGCCGGGGCUU
rnacentral:tRNA from 1 species